AGCAGGUGCUCAUUUUGCUCAGAGUGAGCAGGCAGGAUGUGGAUACUGGGAGAAAAAAGCAGAAAAGAAGCAGAGGAUGAAAAGAAAGCUGACUACCUGGGCUGCUGCUGGGAUGGGACAUGCUAGAGCUUUUCAGAAGGCCAUUCUAUGAUUCAAUGCAAUGCACCUGAGUGACCCAGAUGUCGUUUAAGGGUUGGCAGUGGAAGCAAGAGCGUCUCUUGCAAGAGAUCCUUGCCUACCUGAAGUCUUCCAAAGGUUUUCCUGGAGCUUUUGAAUAUCUGCUGCUGCUUUCUAAUGCAAAGCUGUCACUUCUGGUCUGUGAGAAGAGACUUUAUCUUCCCAGCGCUAUCCGAGCUUACCCCACUGUUUUCUUACGUGUUUUUGUUAUGCAACUGUUACACAGACGUGCCAUGUAAGCCUGUAUGUGUGUGCAGAUGGAUUCUUCACAGCUACCUGAAGACACAAAGCACAGACAGCAGUGUGACAAAUACACCAUGGCUGGAUGGGACUCAGGAGAGUAGUUAGCUGCCUCUUCUCAUGCCAUGCUGGAAGUGCUUAGUGAUUACUUCCUAUAUUUGUGACCUUUAAAAUGGAGACACUGUCACCUUUCUCUAAAGAGGCUAGAAAAAAAAUUAAGAUGGUAAGGUCCAAAGAUGGGUGUUACUUAAGAAGUGAUGUUCUUGCUUAGUCUGUACAAGGCAACCUAAGAAGGAACAAAUGAUCAAGCAUUUUCUGAUGGCUUUGAAAGGAGAUGGCAUCUGCUGAAGUCCAGGUGGAUUUAUUAGUGGAUUAAACCUGACUCACUAAAGCAUGCUGCCUGAUUCUGUGCUCCCUACUGGGGCAUAUACAAGUGUAGAGGGUAACUGAUAUAUUUCAUAACUAAUAGUUUUAAAGGUUAAUAGUUCUUAUUUCUAUACGAGUAUUGAUAAUGUACAUACGUGUAAGUUUUAUGUAGAUAAAACUUAUAUAGUUAAUCAAGAUUAUCAGAGGAUUGGAUUCAUAUAUUUAAGUACCUUUCUUUGGUUUACUUCUACAAUGAGUUUGAUACGCUAUAUAAUUAAAACAUUCAAUGAGAAAAUUUUACCAU
ensembl:lncRNA